rnacentral:rRNA from 1 species
UACGAAGGGGGCGAGCGUUGUUCGGAAUUACUGGGCGUAAAGGGCGCGUAGGCGGCCGAUCAAGUCAGAUGUGAAAGUCCUGGGCUUAACCUGGGGACUGCAUUUGAUACUGAUUGGCUUGAAUGCAGGAGAGGAUAGCGGAAUUCCCAGUGUAGAGGUGAAAUUCGUAGAUAUUAGGAAGAACACCAGUGGCGAAGGCGGCUCACUGGCCCGGUACUGACGCUGAGGCGCGAAAGCGUGGGGAGCAAACAGG